GCAAACUUGGUCAUUUAGAGGAAGUAAAAGUCGUAACAAGGUCUCCGUUGGUGAACCAGCGGAGGGAUCAUUACCGAGUUUUUCAACUCCCCAACCCUUUGUGAACCUAUACCAACUACGUUGCUUCGGCGGGAACGCCCCGGCAUGCGCCUUUGGCGCCGCCCGGAACCAGGCGCCCGCCCGAGGACCCCCCCAAACUCUGAGAUACUAUUCGGUUUAUUUCUUCUGAGUACUAAAAAAAAAAUGAAUCAAAACUUUCAACAACGGAUCUCUUGGCUCUGGCAUCGAUGAAGAACGCAGC
rnacentral:misc_RNA from 1 species